CCUAUGGUAAGAGCCUUGUUGCAGCCUGCUGGUUUGUUUGUGCUGCAACGAUUGGUGCCCUGUGUGAGGCUGACUGAGUUGAACUCCAACUACAACAACUAGUGCCCAAAGUAGCUGAGAUGAGUGGGAGAACCUGUGACCCAUAACAGAUGCUGUGAGAGCAUUUUCAAGAUCAUUUUGACAAAAAGGCAGUUUUCAUCAAGCAUUUGACAGUCCAAAAGAAAGAACUUUUACAGGAAGCUUCAUAGCUCAUACAACUACAUACACAAGGAAGCAUCCGUGGGAGAAGGUGAAGAUCAAAAUAAUCUGCCUGGUAUAAUGGGAGAAGCGAUGAUUUUUCCACGCCAAGGAUUCUGCAUUUUGGACCGUCUCCAGGAUCACACGGAUGAUGGAGAUCAACAUUAAGACAGUAACUGAUGCUAAGUAUUGUGUACAUCAAAACACUAGAGAGUUUCAAGUCCCUAAAUCUAAUUGCUUGUAACUGGAAGGCAAGGAAAACCAUAGCGCCCGUGGUGAUUGCUGGCACGUUGGGGUAGCGAAGCAGGGCUUCCUCAGGAAAAUCCGGACUCACACACUGCUGCAGUUCUGGUGACCGAGGCUCAGGCAGGAGGCCAGGGGGUGGCCAUGGGCAGCUGAGGACACCACGGACACAAGCCUACUGCUCAGUCUGGGCUGCGUGGCCUCAGGAAGCGCGGGCAGUCAGCCGCUAGUGGAGGACAUGCCCUUCCCCUGGCCACAGUGCAGCACUGCCCAGCCUCUGAAAGCACCAGCCCUGGCUGGAGGGAGAGGGAAGCCUGAUGGGCAGGGACGGGCAAAGCCAAAAUGGCAAGCUUCGUGCUCAGCAGGUCUGAAAAGCUCCACUGCUUUUUAAAGCCUUUCUUAUCUGUAUAGCUGCCACAAGUGUUUGAAGUCUCAUUGACUGCUUGGAGUCCCACCAGAGGUGUUCCUCAGGAGCUCAUGUGGGUUAAUUAUACAGGGUGAAAGAAGAUCACAUCCUGCAUGCCACGGAAGAAGAACCACAGAGCAGAGAAGGGGAAACAGCUUAAGAAGAGAUAAC